ensembl:lncRNA
GAUAUUUUUUUCACAUCUUAAAGAAAUAUCUGCUCUCUUAGUACUUGCUAUCUGUAACUCAAGAACCAGCAGAUCCAGAUAAUGCCGUCCUUGUUACCAUAACCCUCGCCCUGAAGCUAGGAGUCAAACGGAGCUGGAGUGCGCAGGGCCUUGUGUGUGAAAGUGCUGUGUGGACUCAAGUGCUCACAAAUACUGGUUUAUGCGUUCAGUCACAGAACACACGUUUGCUGAGCCCCUACUGCACCAGAAGCAUCCCGGCGAGAGCUGGGAGCACACGGUGAAGGAGAUCCCAGGGUCCCUGCUGCGCCGCGCCCACAGGCGCCCGGCAGAGACUGACAGGUGAAGCCAGGCAGUGUGGCCACAGCUCCCAGAGGCUGCGUCCGGCCUUUCUGCACCCGCAGGGGCGUCUGUGCUGAAGAAAUGGUGCUGCAGGUACGGAGGGCGCGGUGGGAGUGGGAACUGUGUUUGCCCCCUGGAACUUACUUUCUGGCUGGAGGUCGUGGGAGCAAGCCCCAUCCCGAGCCAACGGCUGCUGCAAGAAAGUCAGACGGAACGUUUGGAAAAGGGUUCUGCUGGAUAAGACGGUUGGAAGAAAACACGCUCUUCUCACUCUCGGACGUGGCCGUGUCUCCGUUCCGAGCUGGGGGCGGUUCAGCAAACACGGAGGGAGAGGGCUGCUGUCUCCGAGGACAGCAGAGCAGGAAGCCUACGGGCAGCUCGUACCACAACCACUCAGUGGCUGCAGGAACCCGAGCGCUGGCCUGCGUCCGAGCGUCUAGACGGAAUCCGAAACAGUGAUUGUGCCCACAGAUUAUGUCCCGUUAUUGGGAUUUCCUGUGACUCGCAGCCCGGCGGGUGGAAAGAUGACAACGUGAGGCAGGCUGGUGGGGAGCCUCUGCAUCAACCCUGGUCACUCAGCAUCACAAGCGGCGUGUUGGGGGACAUGGGGGACACCAUCUGAAGCUGCCGCCCUCUUCGAAGGCCUCUGGACACCUCAGAUCCCACUGAUGCCCUAUUUCAGAUGUCAGAGUUCAUCGACAAUCCCUGUGUGUGGUGUUUGAAUCUGAAACAAGUGCUGCUCCUGCCUCAGUCCCACCCACUGCUGCCUCCCCACACGGGGAGAAGCUCCAGCUCGCUCUGGCCGGGGGCAGGCCUUCCGUGAGGGCUGGGAGAUGCACACUCAUCCCUGUUAUCUGUUUAUGAAUUGAGGGAGAAUUAAUUUGCUGAUUGAGCAAACUCUCUUUCCUUUCUAGGACAUUAGCUGUCCUUUAUUCGUGUGUCCUCGGUUCCCUGAAAUAAUUAAGAACGGAGCAACGAAUGAUUUGCAGUUUGGUCUCGAUGGCCACUGCUUUGAAACGUGGUUUUUGGAAAGUCUGAAGCUUGACUGUAGAGCAGUUUUAACCCUGGGUCACGGCGCCGAGGCACGUCAGGGCCAGGCCUCUGCACCUGCCGGCCCUCUCUCCGCUCUGCAGCUCAUGCGGUGCCGCUUUCUUGGGGAGUCCGGAUGCCCUGUGAGGCUGAACCAGCAGGCAGGGCUGAGGACGGAAGGCGUCCCCUCCUCCCCGCACGGCUGCACCCACAGCCCUCCAGCGUGAUGGCAGGUGACACUGUCCCUGGGUCCAGUCCUUCCUUCUCCAUUUCCCACUUGGUUUCUCACCAGGACCUUGGCAAUGCCCCACCAACAAUAGUUCUUUGUCCCUGGCUGAGUUCAGCCGUUCAAUAAAACAAUCCUCUCAUC